rnacentral:rRNA from 1 species
GGUCAAGCGAACAAGUGCAUGUGGUGGAUGCCUUGGCGAUCACAGGCGAUGAAGGACGCGGUAGCCUGCGAAAAGCUACGGGGAGCUGGCAAACGAGCUUUGAUCCGUAGAUGUCCGAAUGGGGAAACCCGGCCCUUUUGGGUCAUCCUAGACUGAAUACAUAGGUCUAGUGAAGCGAACGCGGUGAACUGAAACAUCUAAGUAACCGCAGGAAAAGAAAUCAACCGAGAUUCCCAAAGUAGUGGCGAGCGAAAUGGGAUGAGCCUUGCACUCUUUAUUUGUAUUGUUAGCCGAACGCUCUGGAAAGUGCGGCCAUAGCAGGUGAUAGCCCUGUAGGCGAAAACAGUAUGAAAGAACUAGGUGUGCGACAAGUAGGGCGGGACACGUGAAAUCCUGUCUGAAGAUGGGGGGACCAUCCUCCAAGGCUAAAUACUCGUGAUCGACCGAUAGUGAACCAGUACCGUGAGGGAAAGGCGAAAAGAACCCCGGGAGGGGAGUGAAAUAGAUCCUGAAACCGCAUGCAUACAAACAGUCGGAGCCUCGUAAGGGGUGACGGCGUACCUUUUGUAUAAUGGGUCAGCGACUUACGUUCAGUAGCAAGCUUAACCGUAUAGGGCAGGCGUAGCGAAAGCGAGUCCGAAUAGGGCGUUCAGUUGCUGGGCGUAGACCCGAAACCAGGUGAUCUAUCCAUGGCCAGGAUGAAGGUGCGGUAACACGUACUGGAGGUCCGAACCCACUAACGUUGAAAAGUUAGGGGAUGAGCUGUGGAUAGGGGUGAAAGGCUAAACAAACCUGGAAAUAGCUGGUUCUCUCCGAAAACUAUUUAGGUAGUGCCUCGUGUCUCACCUUCGGGGGUAGAGCACUGUCAUGGUUGGGGGGUCUAUUGCAGAUUACCCCGCCAUAGCAAACUCCGAAUACCGAAGAGUGCAAUCACGGGAGACAGACAUCGGGUGCUAACGUCCGGUGUCAAGAGGGAAACAACCCAGACCGCCAGCUAAGGUCCCCAAAUAUAGCUAAGUGGGAAACGAAGUGGGAAGGCUAAAACAGUCAGGAGGUUGGCUUAGAAGCAGCCACCCUUUAAAGAAAGCGUAAUAGCUCACUGAUCGAGUCGUCCUGCGCGGAAGAUGUAACGGGGCUAAGCUAUAUACCGAAGCUGCGGAUGCGUGCUUUGCACGCAUGGUAGGAGAGCGUUCCGUAAGCCUGCGAAGGUGCGUUGAAAAGCGUGCUGGAGGUAUCGGAAGUGCGAAUGCUGACAUGAGUAGCGAUAAAGGGGGUGAAAGGCCCCCUCGCCGUAAGCCCAAGGUUUCCUACGCAACGUUCAUCGGCGUAGGGUGAGUCGGCCCCUAAGGCGAGGCAGAAAUGCGUAGCUGAUGGGAAGCAGGUCAAUAUUCCUGCACCAUUGUUAGAUGCGAUGGGGGGACGGAUCGCGGAAGGUUGUCCGGGUGUUGGAAGUCCCGGUCGCUGCAUUGGAGAAGGCGCUUAGGCAAAUCCGGGCGCAGGAUUCAAGGGUGUGGCGCGAGCUCCCUCGGGAGCGAAGCAAUUGGAAGUGGUUCCAAGAAAAGCCUCUAAGCUUCAGUCUAACGAUGACCGUACCGCAAACCGACACAGGUGGGCGAGAUGAGUAUUCUAAGGCGCUUGAGAGAACUCGGGAGAAGGAACUCGGCAAAUUGGUACCGUAACUUCGGGAUAAGGUACGCCCUUGUAGCUUGACUGGCCUGCGCCAGGAGGGUGAAGGGGUUGCAAUAAACUGGUGGCUGCGACUGUUUAAUAAAAACACAGCACUCUGCAAACACGAAAGUGGACGUAUAGGGUGUGACGCCUGCCCGGUGCCGGAAGAUUAAAUGAUGGGGUGCAAGCUCUUGAUUGAAGUCCCGGUAAACGGCGGCCGUAACUAUAACGGUCCUAAGGUAGCGAAAUUCCUUGUCGGGUAAGUUCCGACCUGCACGAAUGGCGUAACGAUGGCCACACUGUCUCCUCCCGAGACUCAGCGAAGUUGAAGUGUUUGUGAUGAUGCAAUCUACCCGCGGCUAGACGGAAAGACCCCAUGAACCUUUACUGUAGCUUUGCAUUGGACUUUGAACCGAUCUGUGUAGGAUAGGUGGGAGGCUAUGAAACCGGAACGCUAGUUUCGGUGGAGCCGUCCUUGAAAUACCACCCUGGUUUGUUUGAGGUUCUAACCUUGGCCCGUGAUCCGGGUCGGGGACAGUGCAUGGUAGGCAGUUUGACUGGGGCGGUCUCCUCCCAAAGCGUAACGGAGGAGUACGAAGGUACGCUAGGUACGGUCGGAAAUCGUGCUGAUAGUGCAAUGGCAUAAGCGUGCUUAACUGCGAGACCGACAAGUCGAGCAGGUGCGAAAGCAGGUCAUAGUGAUCCGGUGGUUCUGUAUGGAAGGGCCAUCGCUCAACGGAUAAAAGGUACUCUGGGGAUAACAGGCUGAUACCGCCCAAGAGUUCAUAUCGACGGCGGUGUUUGGCACCUCGAUGUCGGCUCAUCUCAUCCUGGGGCUGUAGCCGGUCCCAAGGGUAUGGCUGUUCGCCAUUUAAAGAGGUACGUGAGCUGGGUUUAAAACGUCGUGAGACAGUUUGGUCCCUAUCUGCCGUGGGCGUUGGAUAUUUGAAGGGGGCUGCUCCUAGUACGAGAGGACCGGAGUGGACGAACCUCUGGUGUACCGGUUGUCACGCCAGUGGCAUCGCCGGGUAGCUAUGUUCGGAAGAGAUAACCGCUGAAAGCAUCUAAGCGGGAAACUCGCCUUAAGAUGAGAUAUCCCUGGG